rnacentral:rRNA from 1 species
UACGGGGGAUGCAAGCGUUAUCCGGAUUUAUUGGGUUUAAAGGGUGCGUAGGCUGUGAGGUAAGUCAGCGGUGAAAUGCCCCCGCUCAACGGGGUGAAGUGCCAUUGAUACUGCCUUGCUGGAAUGCGGAUGCCGUGGGAGGAAUGUGUGGUGUAGCGGUGAAAUGCAUAGAUAUCACACAGAACACCGAUUGCGAAGGCAUCACACGAAUCCGCGAUUGACGCUGAUGCACGAAAGCGUGGGUAUCAAACAGG